CAAAUGACCUUCAGCCUUCAGCUAAUCCCUAAAAUACCUCAUUACAGCAAUACAAUCUGGUUCUCUUAGAGCCUAACUGUAGCAUCCCAAUCUUUUUAUAAUUUAUUUAUCUAUUCGUAAUCCUAUUAUUAUAUUGAUCUUACAUUAUUUUAUAUCCCUUGUUUGCUUUCUGUUGUAGACAGUCCACUUCAAUGAAUGUUUUGUGUGUGCUGAGAUGCUUUUCUGCUCAACACGGUUGUAAAGAGUACUUAUAUGAGUUCUUAUAUCUUUCCUGACAGUCCAAACUAAUCUGGCCAUUUUCCUAACUUCUCUUUUCAACAAGAUGUGUCCACCUACAACACUGUCCCCUGACAGGAUUUUUUUUCCUGCACCAUUCUGUUGUGGGAAAAUCCCAGGAGAUUAGUAGGGUUUUCAUUCUAAUGUUUGAUAUGUCUACAUCUGAUUAUGAAUCAAUAUUUGAUUGCCUGAUUACACAAUUUCAUGAGUGUACCUGGUGUUUCUGCUGAAAUGAAAGGCGAGUGUACAGUAUAUUCUUUUAUAUAUAUAAAGAUUAUUAUAGAUUAUUUAGGCUCUAUGUAAUCGAGUAAGAUUUUAAAUAUAUAAACAUUUCCACAGGUGUUUGUAACACUAAUAGCUUUAACUCCAACGUGCAGUGUUUCUCUGAUAAUAGACUUUAAGAAACUUUUAGUUGAAGGUUGAGUUUAUAUUAACUGACAUCCAAUUGCUAUUUAUGCUAUUUGCCAUUUAUAGUGAACCGGAAAUCCUUUUGAAUGUUAAUCUGUAUAUAAGUUAAUAAUUAAAAGUUAAAAGUAGUUCUGAGGUUUAUUGGUAAUGAUUUAUAAGAUCUGCAUUAUAUAGUUUAUAUAACUAUAUUUUAUAUGUGCUAUAACACUUUAGCACAUAUGAAAUAGAUUGUUAUAAUAUCAACCUGGUUUAUUUUCAUCACAUAAAUAGCAACUAUGAAGAAUAAUGUGUGCAGCUAUGAGAGAGUGAAAACAGGUAUGCUUUAAUGUUCUAAUCUUUUAUGUGAGAAACACUAAAUAUUUUAAGCACUUUUAUCAUGCCUGAUUAUGUUAUGCAACUUUAAUACAACUAAACUGCAAUGUUUAAUACCAAAUGAUUAUACUGUAUUCCAGCUUCGACACAUCAGUCACGAAUGGAUUAGUUAUUUCCAAAUCAUCUCUGUUACGAAUGCUCAGUUUCUUUAAUAAUUCCUUUUUGGCACAUGCUUAUGUAGAGGGUGUGUAGGUAAUGAAAGUAAUUAUUGUCAUAUAUCUUUUUAUCCGGCUAGCCCAUUUUGGCAAACAUGGCUCUUGCAGUGGGACAGAGCCUGAUAUGAGAAGCAUAAUGUUUAAACAAGCUGGAUAGAGAAAAUAUUUAAAUACAGCUGUGCAUUAAGGAAAUGGGUGCUAGUAGAAAAUAGUUUUCUCUUUCUUUCUUUUUAACAGAUGCUGGAGAUAUUCUUUUCUUUCUGAAUAUUUACAUGGCCAGUAUCUGCUUAUUCAAGAAUGAAUCUGUAUCAUAAGUGCAGUAAUGUGAAAGUGUACUAUUAGACCUUUUACUGCUAUCACUGCUGCCACAGUAUUUUGCUGACAACAUUGUCUCUAGCUUAUUACUCUAACAAGUUCAUUACAUUUAACUUUUUUUUUUUUUUUUACAGACUACUGUAAUUAGCCACUCAUGUAUACUACUGUACAGUGUAUUCACUGCAUCCAAGUUGUAAUUAUAUUUUAACAGAAUGUAAUUAGAGCUGUACUUUCCUUUGCAUUGCUCAUUUAUUUUGCUGGUCUAAAUUAGAUAUCUAAUUCUAACUAAAUAUUCAAAAUUAAGCGAAUCAAUAUAGUAGCUAUACUAUAUAUACAGUACAUUAAAUACGUAAGCUUAUCAUUAUAUUAUUUUGCUAGUAUGUGCAGUAUGUUGGUAUGACAUUAUUAUAGUUUUUAUUUCUUACUGUUUUUUGUGUCAUACAAAUAAAAAAUAUUUAUAAUAAACCAUACUCUCUCACAUUUUAAACCAAAAUGUAGUUCCCAUGUCAAUUAUACAGUACUGUAAUUUAAGAAAAGGCUUCAUGUAAAAGCACCAGGAGUUUUACCACAGUUGCAGUAUUUUACUGUCUAUUAUACAGUUAGACAUGAUACAAUGUGCGGCAAUGUUAAACAGCAUGUGUAUCUCCUUUCCUUAAUUAUUAAACCAAUAUCCACUUUCAAAUCCCAUUUCUUAAUUUUUUUUACAGUGUAAUUUAGAUGCCUUCAGAGUUUCUUUGCCUGUUGUAUUGUGGGCUGUAUUAUGGUUACCAGGGUGUGUGGGGGUGUUGUCUUGGGCACACAGACACACAGGCAUGUCUAUGCUGUGAGUCAGUCUAACCCACAGCAUGUGAGCCCUGAUGGGAGGGAUCCAGAGUGCCUACACAAUCUAGAUCUAACAGACAUUGUCUUUCUUUACUGAUAAUCUAACUAAUGUUUGCACUGUAAAUGACGUGGUGAUUCAACGAUGCAGAUUUUAAAUAUCAGGUAAUCUGUAUAAACCUACACCAGAGUUGUGUUUUUUGAUACUAAUUUCUGAGUCUUAUCAAGUGGGUGUAUUUUGAGGACAGUAUAUUCCCAACAAACCGGACUAAAGUCAUAACAAGGAUAGAGUUUAAGCAUUGCUAAGAGUUAAGAUGAAAAAAUUGUGUGUAUGGUUUCUUGGCCAAUUCAUAUAGAUGCAGUUCAACUGAUCAUUAUUAGAAGAUUUAUAUGUUUUUCAAUGGUGUAAAACUUUCUACAGGACUACUUUCCAAAAAAGAAGGAAACUGUUCUGACACAUUUUAUAUGAACUGGAUUAAAUGAGAUUUUCAAUGCCUAUGCCUUGCAGGUCAAGUCUGGACAUGUCUGAGAGCUUGACUUUACCAUGUGGCUGUUCAAGGAAAUGUGGAGUCAGUGCACUGAGCCUCAGUUCAUACAACCACACAGUAGCUCUUUCAUAGACUGUAUUCUUGUCCAUUUUUUCCCUUUAUUGGAAUGUUGAUGAUUUUGUAUAAAUAUACUGCCCAUUAUUUUAUCACAUUUUCUUUGUUGUGAACAUUUCUGCUUCUGACCCGAGGAAAUUGCUGGCCACUGAUCACCUACUGGUUAAAGCAUGUCUUACUGUGGUUACAUUACAGCAAAUGUUCAACUGUAAGGCGUUUGAUGACUGAAGGAUGACCCAGGACCCAAACAAAAAGCAAGUUGACAGUUGUAGGAGUCUGGCAGGUAUAACCCAUUUAAUGUUAUAAAACUGUCUGCUGUUCAUUCAUGUUACACACAAACCAACAAAUUCCAGCGAGGCUGACUGCAGCUUUCCCAUGACAAAGAAUGUCAUAAUGAAUUGUCUUUCCGCAUAGCUGUGUAAUCCACCUGCUUCCUGUUCAUGACGAGGUUAAACAGAUUCUAUAAAUACUACACAGAUAUUUAUAAUGGUAUUUAUUAUUUUUCAAGCCAUUACUGGCAGUAUGUGUUUCUACAUUAGUUUUGUAUAAUGUGUAUUAAUUGUUGGCUUAAUUAAACCAAAUAAUGUUUCCUGAUUUGCCAGGUUAAGGGAAAAAACUAUGAUGGAAUGUACUACACCUAACAUACUUUAUCAUUUUCAAAAAUCAUAGCAAAGACUUUCUGCCCUUCUGUCAGUGAUUCAAGACUUGUCUCUGCUAUAGAUGGGGAGAUGCACAUUAUGUCAUAUCGUUAUAUAUAAGUUGUUUAUAUAGUAUAUCCAUUGCACCACAGACCAAAUGUUAACCUGUCUUUUGGGGGAGUGAACUCCAUGUCCAGUUCUGGUUUCAGAAGGAACUAAGAAUGUACAAUAUAUUGGAUUAUCAUUUAAAGUGUUUUUCAAUAAAUUACACAGACUUCAGUAAUGAAGUUAAUAAGAAAUGUCUAACAUUAGCUCAAGCUCAUAAACGAUACACAUGGUGUGAGCUAUAUGCAGGCUAAUAAAACUCCAGAUAAGAUCGGUGCUGUGCUGCAGACUCUGGCAUUCAUGCAAGUUGAGUUUUGAUUCUUACCUGAACUACCUGUUUAAGGUAAUCUAUCAGCAUCUUUAAAUAAAGGCUAAACAAAUGGUUUGACUCGCUGUUAUGGGGAAGAUGUAAUCCAGUGGUUAAGAUGAUAGACUUAUGAUUAGGUUAUGAGUAAAAAUACCACUGCAAGGCCUUUAACCCUCAACUGCUCAGUUGUACAGUGCAUCCAGAAAUCUUUGCAAAUUUAAAAUAUAAAGCAAAAUAACAGGUACAAGUAUUCACAGCCUUUGGUCAAUACUUUGUUGAAGCAUCUUUGGCACCAUUUACAAUCUUUUUGAGUAUGAUGCUACAAGAUUGGCACACCGAUUUUUAAGUAGUUUCUAACAUUCUUCAUUUUAAGACCUUUUAAUGUAAAUCCGGUUUGGAUGGGGAGAGUCGGGGCACAACCAUUUUUAGAAAUUUCCAGAUAUGUUCAAUCGCAAGUUUAAGUUCAAGUCUGGGCUCAGGCUGGGCCACUCAGGGACAUUCACAGAGUCCAUUCAGAGUCCAGAGCACUCUGAAGCAGGUUUCAUCUGGGAUGUCUCUGUACAUUGCUGCAUUCAUCUUUCCCUCGACUAGUCUCCCAUUUCUGCUGCUAGAAAACAUCCCCACAGCAUGAUGCUACCACCACCAUGCUUCACUGUGGGGAUGGUAUUGGCCUGGUGCAAAUUCCCCACACCUGAGUGGGGGAAAAGAUAAAAAGAGUGAGAUGAACACUUGGGGAAAGAUACACAGAUAAACAUUAACACACGUGUGUGU